rnacentral:rRNA from 1 species
UACGUAGGUGGCAAGCGUUACUCGGAAUCACUAGGCGUAAAGCGCAGGUAGGAGGUUUGGUAAGUCUGUUGUGAAAGCUCCCGGCUCAACUGGGAGAGGUCAACGGAAACUACCAGGCUAGAGUGUGGUAGAGGAAGAUGGAAUUCCCGGUGUAGCGGUGAAAUGCGUAGAUAUCGGGAGGAAUACCUAUGGCGAAAGCAGUCUCUGGACCAUCACUGACUCUGAUCUGCGAAAGCUAGGGGAGCAAACAGG